rnacentral:rRNA from 1 species
ACUGGCAGACUAGAAUGCGGUAGAGGUAAAGGGAAUUCCUGGUGUAGCGGUGAAAUGCGUAGAUAUCAGGAGGAACAUCGGUGGCGUAAGCGCUUUACUGGGCCGUAAUUGACACUGAGGAACGAAAGCCAGGGUAGCAAAUGGGAUUAGAUACCCCAGUAGUCCUGGCCGUAAACGAUGGAUACUAGGUGUUGCGGGUAUCGACCCCUGCAGUGCCGUAGCUAACGCGUUAAGUAUCCCGCCUGGGGAGUACGCACGCAAGUGUGAAACUCAAAGGAAUUGACGGGGACCCGCACAAGCGGUGGAACAUGUGGUUUAAUUCGAAGCAACGCGAAGAACCUUACCAGGGCUUGACAUCUAACAAACCUUUGUGAAAGCAGAGGGUGCUCUUCGGAGAAUGUUAAGACAGGUGGUGCACGGUUGUCGUUAGUUGGAUGUAUCGGUAUACUUAUACAUUCCUCUCUAGCGAGACUGCCGGUGAUAAACCGGAGGAAGGUGGGGACGACGUCAAAUCAUCAUGCCCCUUAUGCUCUGGGCUACACACGUGUUACAAUGGCCGGUACAAUGAGCCGCCAACUCGCGAGAGUGAGCAAAUCUCUAAAAGCCGGUCUCAGUUCGGAUUGCAGUCUGCAACUCGACUGCAUGAAGUCGGAAUCGCUAGUAAACGCAGAUCAGCACGCUGCGUUGAAUACGUUCCCGGGUCUUGUACACACCGCCCGUCACACCAUGGAAGUCGACCACGCCCGAAGUACGUGAGCUAACCGUAAGGAAGCAGCGUCCUAAGGCAGGGUUGGUGACUGGGGUGAAGUCGUAACAAGGUAGCCGUACCGGAAGGUGUGGCUG